rnacentral:lncRNA from 1 species
CCGCAACUAUAGCUUGGCUGCGGGCAGGGCCAGCCUCACAGGUUGCUGAGUUCCAGUAGGGUCUGGUCCCAGCAGCUGCUCUUUGCUGGGUGUCAUUCCUGUCACUGUGAGGACACUGGCAAACCAAAGAGAUUGGUCCUUGUCUUUGGGACUCCUAGAGUUGAGGACAGAUAAUGCAUAGGAAGAAUCAGGUUUCUUACUUCCUGGUCACAAAAUGGCUGCCGAAGUCCAUAAGCUAAAUCCUAAUGUGAGUGAACAUGAUCAAGAAGUUCACAAUUUUAAGGAUUCAUGACUACAACCCCAAAAUACGGCACUUCUGCCUGUGUGGAAACAACAGAAGCAGGAAGAUUACUCUCAUUUUUCUCUGGCCUUUUUCCCUUGAAGCAGACUAUAAAGAAGAAUCUGACCUUCCUCUGAAGGAAACCUUCAUUCCAGACAUACCCUCCCUAUAUCCAAAGAACAUCUUUAUCUUUAAAGACACAGAGAUGUCAAGAAGAAUCUGAACAAACAGGCUUUGCCAGAUCCCCCAGUUUACUAAUAUUGAACCAUACUCUUUUGUUCUUCAAUCAUACUUCUGCAUGAUGUCCAUAAAAAUACACAGUUUUCCCCAUUCCUUUUGGGUAUUUAUUCCCGAAAGCUUCUGUGUCAUGUAAAACUUACA